CCGUACACAAAAAUGCACAUAUUGUGAGCUCGAUGAGUAGGGCGGGACACGUGGUAUCCUGUCUGAAUAUGGGGGGACCAUCCUCCAAGGCUAAAUACUCCUGACUGACCGAUAGUGAACCAGUACCGUGAGGGAAAGGCGAAAAGAACCCCGGCGAGGGGAGUGAAAAAGAACCUGAAACCGUGUACGUACAAGCAGUGGGAGCACGCUUAGGCGUGUGACUGCGUACCUUUUGUAUAAUGGGUCAGCGACUUAUAUUCUGUAGCAAGGUUAACCGAAUAGGGGAGCCGAAGGGAAACCGAGUCUUAACUGGGCGUUAAGUUGCAGGGUAUAGACCCGAAACCCGGUGAUCUAGCCAUGGGCAGGUUGAAGGUUGGGUAACACUAACUGGAGGACCGAACCGACUAAUGUUGAAAAAUUAGCGGAUGACUUGUGGCUGGGGGUGAAAGGCCAAUCAAACCGGGAGAUAGCUGGUUCUCCCCGAAAGCUAUUUAGGUAGCGCCUCGUGAAUUCAUCUCCGGGGGUAGAGCACUGUUUCGGCAAGGGGGUCAUCCCGACUUACCAACCCGAUGCAAACUGCGAAUACCGGAGAAUGUUAUCACGGGAGACACACGGCGGGUGCUAACGUCCGUCGUGAAGAGGGAAACAACCCAGACCGCCAGCUAAGGUCCCAAAGUCAUGGUUAAGUGGGAAACGAUGUGGGAAGGCCCAGACAGCCAGGAUGUUGGCUUAGAAGCAGCCAUCAUUUAAAGAAAGCGUAAUAGCUCACUGGUCGAGUCGGCCUGCGCGGAAGAUGUAACGGGGCUAAACCAUGCACCGAAGCUGCGGCAGCGACGCUGAUGCGUUGUUGGGUAGGGGAGCGUUCUGUAAGCCUGCGAAGGUGUGCUGUGAGGCAUGCUGGAGGUAUCAGAAGUGCGAAUGCUGACAUAAGUAACGAUAAAGCGGGUGAAAAGCCCGCUCGCCGGAAGACCAAGGGUUCCUGUCCAACGUUAAUCGGGGCAGGGUGAGUCGACCCCUAAGGCGAGGCCGAAAGGCGUAGUCGAUGGGAAACAGGUUAAUAUUCCUGUACUUGGUGUUACUGCGAAGGGGGGACGGAGAAGGCUAUGUUGGCCGGGCGACGGUUGUCCCGGUUUAAGCGUGUAGGCUGGUUUUCCAGGCAAAUCCGGAAAAUCAAGGCUGAGGCGUGAUGACGAGGCACUACGGUGCUGAAGCAACAAAUGCCCUGCUUCCAGGAAAAGCCUCUAAGCAUCAGGUAACAUCAAAUCGUACCCCAAACCGACACAGGUGGUCAGGUAGAGAAUACCAAGGCGCUUGAGAGAACUCGGGUGAAGGAACUAGGCAAAAUGGUGCCGUAACUUCGGGAGAAGG
rnacentral:rRNA from 1 species